rnacentral:rRNA from 1 species
UACGUAGGGUGCGAGCGUUGUCCGGAAUUAUUGGGCGUAAAGAGCUUGUAGGCGGUCUGUCGCGUCUGCUGUGAAAAUCCGGGGCUCAACCCCGGACUUGCAGUGGGUACGGGCAGACUAGAGUGUGGUAGGGGAGACUGGAAUUCCUGGUGUAGCGGUGAAAUGCGCAGAUAUCAGGAGGAACACCGGUGGCGAAGGCGGUUCUCUGGGCCUGUACUGACGCUGAGGAGCGAAAGCGUGGGGAGCGAACAGG